AGAGUUUGAUCAUGGCUCAGAACGAACGUGGGCGGCGUGGAUUAGGCAUGCAAGUCGAACGAAUCCCGGUGGGGGUAACUCUGCCGGGGGAAGUGGCGAAAGGGGCAGUAACGCGUGGGUAACCUACCCUGGGGACUGGCAUAGCCCUCCUAACGGAGGGGUAAUACCGGGCGACGUAGCUGGGAGGCAUCUCUCGGCUAUCAAAGGAAUCUCGCCCCGGGAGGGGCUCACGUAGUAUUAGCUGGUUGGUGGGGUAAUGGCCUACCAAGGCGAAGAUGCUUAGCAGGUGUGAGAGCACGACCUGCGCCACUGGCACUGCGACACUGGCCAGACUCCUACGGGAGGCUGCAGUCGAGGAUCUUCGGCAAUGGGCGCAAGCCUGACCGAGCGACGCCGCGUGUGCGACGAAGGCCUUCGGGUUGUAAAGCACUGUCGAGGGGGAGGAAGCCGCAAGGUUGACCGAUCCCUGGAGGAAGCACGGGCUAAGUUCGUGCCAGCAGCCGCGGUAAGACGAACCGUGCGAACGUUGUUCGGAAUCACUGGGCUUAAAGGGCGCGUAGGCGGCGAGUCAGGUCCGGGGUGAAAGCCCCCCGCUCAACGGGGGAAGUGCCUUGGAUACCGGCUCGCUCGAGGGAGGUAGGGGCCUGUGGAACUUCCGGUGGAGCGGUGAAAUGCGUAGAUAUCGGAAGGAACGCCGGUGGCGAAAGCGACGGGCUGGACCUCUUCUGACGCUGAGGCGCGAAAGCCAGGGUAGCGAACGGGAUUAGAUACCCCGGUAGUCCUGGCCCUAAACGAUGGGUACCAGGUUGUGGACCGGACAUGGGUUCACAGCCGAGGCAAAAGUGUUAAGUACCCCGCCUGGGGAGUAUGGUCGCAAGGCUGAAACUCAAAUGAAUUGACGGGG
rnacentral:rRNA from 1 species